AAAAAAAAAAGAAAAAAAAAUUAGCUGUCAUUUAUCUUGUUCUUUCUUUUUAGAAAUAUUGUAAAUAUUGCAAAUGCUGCAUCUACGAUGAUACGUAAUUUUUAUGAUGACGCUACAAGUACAUAUUUUUACGACGAAUAUCGAUAUGUUGUAACGUUUUUAUUAUAUGGAUAGACGCAUAAAAUAGGCGUUGAACGGUAUCGAAGAAAAUUUUUUAAAAACACAGUACCGUUCAAACUUGGUUGGAAUUUCGUGAGGAUAACAAAUACGGGAUGGCCACCAGCGGUAAUUGCCAAGUUUUACCCAUACUACUUCUCCGUACAAAGUCGUUGCUGUUGUUGCCUAACGAAAAUAGUUACCUAAACAUUCCAAAUGAAACGACGUCGGACACGUGUCGCAACAGAUAAGACUUCCUCCU